UUUCUCCGUUCUCCUACUCAUAGAUUAACCGAUGGCUGUAAGACCUAGAGAAGCAUUAGGAACUGGUCUGUAGUGUCUUCCAGUGUAUGCGUACACACAAUUCACUUUCCUUUUCUUUUUGCCCUUUGUAUAGAUGAUGUGGUUGAGUUACGAAGCCUCUUAUUGCAGUGUUGUCUGCAAGGCCGAAGGGAAGUUAUUAAUGCAUUUGAGCUGCUCUAUCUGAUUGCUCAUCUCCUGAACCUGUUUUAGUUGAUAUAAAAGUGUUCUCUAUUUCAGAAAGCCAGAACACGAGAUUGUGCCCCCUCUUGCUCCAGGCUAUUCCUCAUGUUGCAACCUUUUCCCAUAUAAUUGAAAGGAAGAUGGAAGAAAUUGCAGGAGCUUGCUAUUAUUUGAGCAGGAAUGGUGUUUCCAGCAUGACAUUCAAAACCAGUCAAGACUAUAAAGGGGCUGUGAAGGACGAAAUGCUAUGGAUCCAGAGUGGGAGGGGAGAGUUACCAACAAUGUAUCAAGGAUAAACCGUGACAUGUAUUCCUAAGUUCCAACUUACAUAGCAAAAUUAUAUAGGGAGAAUGCCUACAUUUUGAAAACUCUAUUACAUAGUUUGAAGGUAUGUUUCUUUCAAUUUUCAUUAUUAAAAGGAUCCUUAUUAUUGCUAAUUUGUCAAGCAUCUAUUGUCGAAUAACUCUUUGCUUCAAAUGAGACCUGUGGCGCAAGGGGUAAAUUUAUUAUACAUCUUAUUGUACACAGCAAGCGUCUUCUUUUUUUAUUAAGAGGGGUUAAAUUUGUUACCAUAUGUGCUUGCUCACAACUAAACCAACUAAACCAUGAAUUUUCUUUUCGAUAUGUUUUUUUUCAAACUUAGAUAUCUAAUCAUUAUAACCAUAUUUUCAACUAAAACAAUGCUUCCUUAGCUGGUUUGUACAUGUUACACAAUUUUUUUUUCAAACUUGGAUUUCGCACUGUGAUAACCACAUUUUCAAUAUAACAUCGUUUAACACAUGAGCUUUGUACUACCAAUAUUGAAUAGGUUCUUGUAGAAUGAAACUAUUUUCAUCGACAACAUGGCUUUAGCGGGUCUCUGCGCCAUUUGGCGCAACGGGUCAACUAGUUUGAAUAAGAGAUCAUGACAUUGGAAACCCGAACAUAACUAGUUUCAAUAAGAGAUCAUGAUGUUGGAAACCCGAACAUAACUGAGAUAUGC